CUAAGGCUCCAGAGGAAGCCACGGCUAACUCUGUGCCAGCAGCCGCGGUAAUACAGAGGCGGCAAGCGUUGUUCGGAAUUAUUGGGCGUAAAGAGCACGUAGGCGGCCUUGCAAGUCAGUUGUGAAAGCCUUCCGCUUAACGGAAGAAUGCCAGCUGAUACUACAGGGCUUGAGUACGGGAGGGGAGAGUGGAACUUCUGGUGGAGCGGUGAAAUGCGUAGAUAUCAGAAGGAACGCCGGCGGCGAAAGCGACUCUCUGGCCCGAAACUGACGCUGAGUGUGCGAAAGCUAGGGGAGCGAACGGGAUUAGAUACCCCGGUAGUCCAAGCCGUAAA
rnacentral:rRNA from 1 species